CCUACGGGGGGCAGCAGUGGGGAAUAUUGCGCAAUGGGCGAAAGCCUGACGCAGCGACGCCGCGUGAGGGAUGAAGGUCUUCGGAUCGUAAACCUCUGUCAGCAGGGAAGAACGGUCACUGUGCUAAUCAGCAGUGAAUUGACGGUACCUGCAAAGGAAGCACCGGCUAACUCCGUGCCAGCAGCCGCGGUAAUACGGAGGGUGCGAGCGUUAAUCGGAAUUACUGGGUGUAAAGGGUGCGUAGGCGGCCCUGCAAGUCAGACGUGAAAUCCAUGGGCUUCACCCGUG
rnacentral:rRNA from 1 species